UACGUAGGGUGCGAGCGUUGUUCGGAAUUACUGGGCGUAAAGGGCUCGUAGGCAGCCAACUAAGUCAGACGUGAAAUCCCUCGGCUUAACCGGGGAACUGCGUCUGAUACUGGAUGGCUUGAGUUUGGGAGAGGGAUGCGGAAUUCCAGGUGUAGCGGUGAAAUGCGCAGAUAUCAGGAGGAACACCGGUGGCGAAGGCGGUUCUCUGGGCAUGAUCUGACGCUGAGGAGCGAAAGUGUGGGGAGCGAACAGG
rnacentral:rRNA from 1 species